AUUGUAGGCUGCAACUCGCCUACAUGAAGUCGGAAUUGCUAGUAAUCGCGGAUCAGCAUGCCGCGGUGAAUACGUUCCCGGGCCUUGUACACACCGCCCGUCACACCAUGGGAGUCGGUAACACCCGAAGCCUGUAGUCUAACCGCAAGGAGGACGCUGCCGAAGGUAGGAUUGGCGACUGGGGUGAAGUCGUAACAAGGUAGC
rnacentral:rRNA from 1 species